GAUGAUAUCGUGAUGUUGAUGGUUUGUUUGCUCAACCUGUGGAAUUUGUGGUCGGAGUUGAAUCGUAUACGAUGAAGAAGACGCCGAUUCUCCUCGGAUUUUAGAGAUCUAUAACCGUUCAAUCGCAUCAAUCCAGAGCGAUUCGUUUUACCGAACCUUUUCAGAUCCCCUUUUCAUAUCGUCACUACUAUCCAUACCAUUGGUAAGAUUUUGUUACUAUGCUUUUAUUGAACGUGUUUGAUUGUAUGGUUAUCAUGAUGUGCGUUAGAUAUGCGGUGUUCAGUUUCACGGUGGUCGAUCUGCGGUGGCAACAACGUGUUUCCGUCAGUGCUUGUGGUGGUGGGAUUUAUGGUGCCAUGGCUGUUGCGGGGAGUUUUAUAUGUUCAAUUACCAUAAUUGACUCUGUUGGAGGUUUUCAUCUUUUAAUAGAUGUUGUUCUUUAAGAACUUGGAGAUGUCUUUCCUCCAAUUAUGUACAGAUUGAUAGACAGUGAUUGAAGGUUUUGUUUUGUUUAAGAUAUGUGAGUUGAAAGUCGCGACGAGUGAAUGUGGACAACCUGACUCGGUGUUUGCGGAUUUGGCUUAGUCGGUAUCAGUUGAGCUGAUGAAGGAGAAGGAUUUUGAUAUGGCUGGUGAUACACGGGAUUGAAAUGGUCUCAGUUCAAACCUGGUCUCUGCAUCGGGGAAGGAGUUAAGUUGGAGACUUGUGGACUGCUGAAGUUACUCAUACUAUGGUAACAUGCAUCUGAAUCUUCCCUGCUUGCUUGGGAGGGUACGACCUGUUGGAAGGAGAUAGCCUUGAUGUCCCUGCUGCAUCAUAUUUGUUAUAAAAUCCUUGGUUGCUAUUUGGGAUGCUUCUUCCACUCACAUUGCUACUUGAUAAAUGAUCUGCAUCAUAUCCACGUGAUCGGGAACUAAUUGGACAUAGCACAGAUGAUGAUGCUCUAGCUUUAGCUAAUGCCUUAGCAACAUCGUUGGAAUCUAAUUUUGCAAGUUUCCAUGCGCUUAUUCGCACUGGGCGAUGGUUCAAUUUUUUUCCUUUGUCAGGUGGUUGGUUGUAUUGCAUCUGGGUCCAUAGUAGAUGGUAGGCGGCCUGGCUCCAAUUGAUGUAUCAUUUCAUCCUGCUUAUUCAACUCCAGGCACUUGAUCAACACCCAAAAAUGAUUACCUAUUACUAAGAGUGAUUCUAUUGUGUUUUGUGCAUUAUUUUAUUCAACUCAAUUCUCCUUUCUUAUCUCACAGUAAUUAUUUAUUUUAUUUGUAAUGUUUAAAGAUAGGUUAUUCAUUUAAAACAGUUCCUAAUCAUAUAAUUCAAGCAAUUGUACAAAGAUUGCAGUACCUGGUGAUCUAUAAAUAUUCUCAGAGGCGUACACCAGGCACCUUCGAUUUGCAAACUCAUUCCGACAGAGCUUGCUAGGAUUCAACUUCCUGAAUUGAGAAAAUCUUGACUUGUGCAGGUAAUGUACUGGUAAUAGUCGUUGCCGCAGUCAGUUCGGUGAUCGUUGCGGUGGUUAGAGUGAUUAUUUUUUAAGGUCGCAGAAUAUUGCCGGAUCUAUCCCAUGAUUUGCUUUUAUUCUGUUCAAAAUGAAUGGCUAUGACAAGCACGUCAGGUUACAAGGGCUCCUCCUACUCAUAGCAAAGGAGAGUGAGCCUGAUAUCAUCAAUGGUGUGGGUGCUGAAACAUGACAUGUAAUAAGAACCAGCAUUGGUCGAUGAAAUGGUCAAUCUAAGCAAUCAUACUUACGAAGCCCUAGCUGAAGUCGAAAAAGAAAUCGAAGUCAUCCUACAGAUGUUGCUUCAUAUGUCAGGUGAAAGCUGAUGUACAAACACAAGGUGAUUUUGUCACAUCCUUGGAAACUGAAGUUAGAGCAUCCUCCUUUACCGAUGUCAAUCACCUGGUUGCCUUUGUGAACUGGCUAGAUGAAGAACUUUCCUUCUUGACUGUUAGGCUAUUGGGUCCUCCAACAAAAUUUGAAGAUUCAAAACUGAAGGUUGUUCUAUUGGAAGACCAGAUUAACAGAUAUGCAAGUAUUAUUCCAAGAAUCUACAUUCUAUCUCUCUGUGACUUAACAACUAAUCUCACUUUAGAUAUUUCCAAAUUCAUCAAACUCGCCAUGGUAUAAUUAUUAAUCAGUGUGGAACACAUUAUGACAGUCUUCUGAAUAGAUGACAUAUGGUAAACAUCUGUUGCAAUCUAAGUAAGGUGUUGUGUUUAUUUGCUUUGCUAAUUUUGAUUACUCUAUUUGAUUGUCACAGGUCAAUAUUAUGGAUACCUUAAGUAGACUUUCUAGGAAACUACCAUUCCCUUAUGCCACAAGUUCUUUUUAUAUCUUUGAUCAGAGUUGCAUUAUUUUAUGUUUUGUAUUUUAUAUCUAUCAAGUUUAUCAUUAUCAGUUUAUUGUUGUUAUAAUUCUCUCUUUUAUGUCGAUGGAAGCAUCGAGAAUGAACGAGACAGUGGUAUCAGCUGACACCUAUCGGGGUAGAAGAGAAUCAUUGAAGUCACUUGCACGGGAUGUUCUUGAUGGGAAUUGGCCAGAUGGAAAGUAUUUCAUAUCCAGACCAUGGUAUGAUAACAAAUCUUCUCUCAUGGCCUUCAUGCUUCCAAUGAUAAGGAAUGGGACAAGUGGUUCUAUUUCCUGUAGAGGUAAUGUGACUGAGAGUUCAAGAGUCACUACCAGGUAUGUCUUCUAAAUAAAUUUCGUUAAGAUAUGUUCUCUGAUUGAGUCUCUCUAUAUAGAGAUAUGUGCUAUACACCUAAACAUAUCUUUUUUGUUUAACACUCCACAGACAUUCCUUUGCUACCCUGUAGUUGGUUGUUGACAUCUUUAUCUUCCUUUAUGUUAAUAUGGAUGCUCUGGACAUUGAAAGCUGGAUGUUUAUUAGUGAUAUGAAUGUCCUAUAUUUUCUGUUGGUAUUUUCUUUGUGGAAGCUUCCAAAAUAAAGUAAUCCGAUUGAUUCAAUUGCUCCGCUGUGAUGAAAAAGUGUUGUCUCAAUCAAAAACACCAAAAUCAGAAUUGGCACUGAAACUGUAAGAAUCUUUCCUUGGUGUUAUUUUAACUUCUGCUAUUGUCACUUGUGGAAUUAUUUUAGUACUAAGGAUUCAAGGGGACAGUUUCUAUGGGAGAAAUAAUUUUGAUGAAUUUGAAAUGGAAUGGUCUUUCACUCCAUUCCAGAAGCUUAACUUCAACAUCAACAACGUGGUUUCAAAGUUGUCGGAUUCAAAUAUCGUCGGAAAGGGUUGCUCAAGCGUUAUUUACUGCGUAGAGACUCCGACAAAACAGAUGAGGCAUAAAAAUAUAGUAAGACUUUUAGGAUGCUGCAACAAUGGAGGAACUAGAUUGUUGUUGUUUGAUUACAUGUGUAAUGGAAGUUUGUUUGGAUUGCUCCAUGAAAAGAGAUUGUUCUUGGAUUGGGAUGCAAGGUAUAAGAUCAUACUUGGAAAAGCUCAUGGUUUGGAAUAUCUUCAUCAUGAUUGUAUCCCUCUAAUCGUCCAUCGCAACAUUAAGGCUAACAACAUCUUGGACGGUCCACAGUUCGAAGCUUUUCUUGCAGAUUUCGGCCUUGCAAAAUUGGUCACUUCCUCGGACUGCUCAAGAUCCUCGCAUGUAGUUGCAGGUUCUUACGGAUACAUAACUCCAAGUUAGUUUAAAUGUUUUAAGAUUCGAAAAAGACUAUUUCAUACGACCUUAUCAUUUUCAAUGCUGAACUGGUAUGGAUGUUCUUGGUAUGGGCCUGUUUCAAACUAUUUCGAAACGGCAAAUUGUGGACAGGUUCAAUCAAGUUUGGAACAUGCAGGGUUGCCUCAAAUCCUAUGUAUACUUUGUGUUUGAAAUGAAUAUAUGUGUGAUUUUGUUUACACUAACUUUGCAGGUUUGGUGAAACUAUAACAGAGGCAUGAGAGCUCAUCAUAUGGUGAUGGAUAGACAUAAUAGGUGAAGCACUUGAAGGUCCCAUUGGUUUGGCAUAUGGAAAGCAUGAAGAUGGUCGUGAUGAAAGUGUAGAGGCCUGAUGAAUUAGAUUCUUUCACUUUUCUUCUCUUUCACUCUUUCGAUUACGCUAUCUCAUCUUUUCAAUUUCAUAUUAAAUUGUUUGUUAUAGCUAAUUUCAUAGGUAAAUUAAUCAAAUCUGUUACAUUAUCUAAUUAAGUUAUUGGAAAUUAAAAAUGUUGCAGAUGGAGAAUUUCAUUAUUUAUCAACUCAAGAAUCAACAAAUAUAGAUCCACAUAAUUCAUAUGAUGAUAACACUUUAGAGGAUGAUAAAGAAUAUUUGCAAAAUGCAAUGAUAAAUGCACUGUUAGCAUAUGUUGAAGCAUCUAAGGCUAAAUCAGAUUUUGUUUAAAGAGAGAGUGUAAAUCACAGUUGUUCAAUUACUAAGUGUGUGAAUGCUCUUGAUGAGAUUGAAGAUGUUACUCUUGAUGUUUAUAUGAAGGUUGUGGAGAAACUUAUAGAUCCUAAUUGGAGAGAAGUGUUUCUUGCUAUGUGUAUUGAUAGGAGAAAAGGAUGGUUAGUUAGAGUUUAGGGAAAUUCAUGUAAUGCAUUGUGCACUUAUUGUUGUGUUUAUGCUGAACAUGUGUAUGUGUUUUUGAGAUUUAUCAUGUAAUUUUGAUGGUGUGGAGCUGGACUCAUGCUACAAAUUGAAAACAAUAACAUGGAAUUUUGAAAUGUAAUGUGAUGUGCUUUGACUUUGAAUUCAAUAAUUCAUUUUCCUCUUUUUGUAUUCAAUUUCAAUUCAAAUUCUCCAAUUCUCGCACUCUUAAAUCAAGUAAUAUUAAAAUAAGAUGAAAACUCUAAAGUAGUCUAAAGAUGAA